GGGCGGGUGUUGGAAUUGGCAGACAGCUCGGACUUAAAAUCCGAUGUCCCGUGAGGGACGUGAGGGUUCGAGUCCCUCCCCGCCCA
rnacentral:tRNA from 1 species